rnacentral:rRNA from 1 species
AGCAGCCGCGGUAAUUCCAGCUCCAAUAGCGUAUAUUAAAGUUGUUGCAGUUAAAAAGCUCGUAGUUGAAUUUCGGGGUUCAUACGUUGGUCGGGCUAUUUGGUCUGUACUUAUGUAAUGGAUUCCUACCUUCUGAAUAACCGGCAUGCCAUUAAUUUGGUGCGCCGGGGAAGCAGGACUGUUACCUUGAAAAAAUUAGAGUGCUUAAAGCAGGCUAUCGCCUGAAUACAUUAGCAUGGAAUAAUGAAAUAGGACGGCAUGGUUCUAUUUUGUUGGUUUCUAGGACCACCGUAAUGAUUAAUAGGGAUAGUUGGGGGCAUUAGUAUUCAAUUGUCAGAGGUGAAAUUCUUGGAUUUAUUGAAGACUAACUUCUGCGAAAGCAUUUGCCAAGGAUGUUUUCAUUAAUCAAGAACGAAAGUUAGGGGAUCGAAGACGAUCAGAUACCGUCGUAGUCUUAACCAUAAACUAUGCCGACUAGGGAUCGGACGAUGUUAAUUUUUUAAUGACUCGUUCGGCGCCUUACG